UUACACUCAUUCAGUACGAGUUUCGCUAGCAGUCUGUCAAAUGGCAAUAUGUUGCGGACAUGAACCGACAUAGCAGUAAAGGAUUGAUAGGAAUUGCUUGUGAAUUAAUUCGGUUGUGUGUUCUUCUUCUUCCUAGAGUUUUCCCGAUCUACUUUUUUUAAAUAAUAACCAAUUGCUUAGUUAAAAUUUUAUUGAAAUCAAUUGUUUAUCUUCUUUAUUUUUAUUUCGUAUCCUUUUUGACUGAAAAGUGUUAGCACAAUGAGACUACCAUUUUACUUCCCGUAGCAUUAUUGAAUUGUUUCAAUACCGAUUAUUAAUGUGGAAAAAAAAAAACUGAUGAUGGCAUCGAAUGUAGAAAAUGUAUUGGUUUACUUUGCACUAGCACCGAACUUAAAAAAUAUACGAAAAUAUUUUUUUCAAAAUGCCUCGUGUUAUUUAUUGACAACUAAUUGAAAAUAUAAUCUUCUGUCACUAUAAAACUUCGAUCAACAAUAGUAACUAGAUUUCGGGUCGGUGCAUAAAAUCCGUCUCGUCAAAUAACAGCGCACUUGAAAUGUGAGCUCUUAUUUUGUUUAGUUCACUUCAAACACAGCCAAUGUCAACCCGUCUCACAAUACCGCAGUGUGUAUUCAAAAGUUGCAAAAAUAAGGCCCGAAAAAGCAAUUUAACGGCCGGAGUAUCUUACUUUCGCUUUCCUAGCAAUCACGUGUGCAGAAUGGAUCUCGAUUGUCGCCAGAGAAACAAGAGAUGACUUUUAUAAGCCAGCUAAGAACUCCGCUUAUUGACACUGGACAUCUUUGCCUUCCGUGCUCACGGCUACUGAAAUGUGGCCGAAACAUUGUAAUAAAAAUACCACGCUUGAAACCGUUUAAA